CCUACGGGAGGCUGCAGUGAGGAAUAUUGGUCAAUGGACGAGAGUCUGAACCAGCCAAGUAGCGUGAAGGAUGACUGCCCUAUGGGUUGUAAACUUCUUUUAUAUGGGAAUAAAAUGUUCCACGUGUGGGAUUUUGUAUGUACCAUAUGAAUAAGGAUCGGCUAACUCCGUGCCAGCAGCCGCGGUAAUACGGAGGAUCCGAGCGUUAUCCGGAUUUAUUGGGUUUAAAGGGAGCGUAGGUGGAUUGUUAAGUCAGUUGUGAAAGUUUGCGGCUCAACCGUAAAAUUGCAGUUGAAACUGGCAGUCGUGAGUACAGUAGAGGUGGGCGGAAGUCGUGGUGUAGCGGUGAAAUGCUUAGAUAUCACGAAGAACUCCGAUUGCGAAGGCAGCUCACUGGACUGCAACUGACACUGAGGCUCGAAAGUGUGGGUAUCAAACAGGAUUAGAUACCCCGGUAGUC
rnacentral:rRNA from 1 species